AUAACAUCCACUAGCUCGGCUGCUGCUCCUCCUUCCCCAUUCUCCAAUAUCAGAAUUGGAGGGCUUCUGGUGCAGCGCCGCGCUCAAUGCCGGGCAGCANNNNNNNNNCAGACAUUCGACCACCGGUCACAGCUCCACUCUUCUUGCAAGGUUUGUUGGUGUCUUCUGAUUUCACUCUACUUUUCCCGUUACAUCGGUUGCUGUUUGCGAAUGUCGUAUCAUUUUGGAUGCAGUUAAUGUAGGGAAAAAAGAGUACAUCGGAGACAUAGGGCAAGAUGGAUUCUCCCUGUAAUCCCAUUCCCGUACCACCUUUCACUUGUUUUUACUUGCGUUUUACCUUUCUAAUUCCACAAAAUGCGCAUCGAGAAUGUAUCUCACACCAAGAUGAUAUAUGUGCAGUCCUGUUACAUCGAUUCGUGAUAGCAUGGUGAUGACGCUGUACAAUGCAGACAAGGAAUUGGUAUCCAAAACAGAGGUGAAGACAAAGUUGAUUGUUGAGUUGGGAACAAUGGAUGUUAUUUUUACUCUUGAUAGUGGAGGGACAAUUAUUCUCCAGUUGCAGUUUCUUCUCAGUGAUGAAGAUCGCAAGCGCAUCCAAGAGAUGAGGAACUCUGUGAUGAAAAGAAAGCAGCAAGAGCUACUUGGGAAUGGCGAUGAAUUUUAUUUCCAAGAAGAUAGCCCACUGCCUAAAGAGCAUGCAGAAGAUAUCCCCGGCAUCCCAAGCAAAGAUGACCAAUUGACGCUUCAGAAGAGCAUGUCGUUGGAUGAUCUGAAAAAUAGGGUCUUCUUCUCCGAAACAAGUGUAGAUUCUGACAUGGUGGCUUCUAAGGACAUACCACUGCAAAUUGGUGGCAAUACUUCGAUGCUCGAAGGUCCCAUCGACAUCGAUUCCGAGAAAGGACAGGGUAAACCAAAGAGUAGAUCAAGCAGCGCGGUGAAGAAGAUGAUAAGUGCCUUCGAAAGCAGCUCCCCACAGGGUCUGCCUUUGGUGCCAAGGAUCAGAUCAGAGAGCUCGUUGGAAGAGAUGCCGUCGGUUUCUUCUUCAGAGACUUCCACCAACCCUUCACGCAAGCCUCCUACUCCCGGUGCAUCAGUGGACGCUCCAGGCCACACCCAGACAGGGCCCGGGCCAGGGAAGCAAGCCAUGAUCAUCGGCAACAAGAAACCGAGCACAUCUUUUGGAAAGACCGGCCCGUUAAACACACAAGAAAGCCGAAGACGGAGCUCCAGGCAGAGCGCAGGAGUGAGCGACAUGAUUCGCUCGGAGAAGCGGUCAGCGGAAAAGCGCCGGCGUCGCUCCAUCUGCACCUACUCAUCGGAGCAGCAGGUGAACCCUUGUGGUGCGACGUCUGUUGUCGCGUGGAUCAACCAUCCGCACGUCUGCAUCACCACUGCGAGCAGGCAGCUGAAAGACAUUGUUGACGUCGAGCACCUGAAUUCGAUGGAGAACUUAGGACAGACUGCAAGGGGAGAGAUCGGGCAGCGCGCAGGUGACGGCGCGGCGCGGUGGCCUGAUGGUUUCCCGGUGCUGAAUGGGUGGUUGAUUAACCAGGGUGUGCGUGGUGUGAUAGUGAUCAUAGCCUGCGGGGCUGUGUUUUUCAACAACAGGUGAAUAAGAACGCUCUUAUAUUUCUUUACGGAGGGAGUAACUAAUAUCAGAAGCUGCGACCGAUGAGGCAUUGAGAUGCAGUGCAAUUUGUUUGUGUUGAGGACUUGCUGUUGCUUCAUACUCCACCAUGAUGACUCGCAGUUCAUGUCAGAAGUUGCGAUGGGAUGAGUGUGGAGUAAAUAUGUAAAUCAUACUGGGAUGAAGAUGAACUGUCAGGUUCUAGCGCGGCCUUCUGCCACCGCGUCCCUUUGGCUGUACGCCAUGCUUUGGGAUGUCUGCCCGGUGUUUGGACUUUGUGGUCAGGCCGGAUGGUCCCGAGUCGCCUCGGUUGGUGCAAAAGACGGGGAGCUCUGAAAUGAGGGAGGCUCACCACCAGACUGGACUGCUGUAGAAUAAUGAAGUUGUCACUGCCUGAUUGUUGGUUUGGUUCCUCUCUGCUAAGAGAAUGGCUUGAUUGGACUCUUUCGUUAGUUGAUUGUGUCGUACGUGUGCUACUGUUAUUAUGCUCUUAUAAGUUAGUGCGAUGCCGAGAGGCCCAUCUCGAGCUGUUUUAUUUAUGUGGAUUUCUUGCUUGUGUUGCUCUAUGCUUCUUCAAC
rnacentral:rRNA from 1 species